rnacentral:misc_RNA from 1 species
GCGAGUAUGGCCCUCACGGGUCUAAUCCACCAUAAACACCUUUGUGAACCAGUCAGGGGGACUCGGCCGUGAAAGCCCAGGCGAUUAGCGGAAGGGCCCUCCUUUGCAAACCCGUUUAGAAGUCUUGAAAGUACUUUUGUAUAAUCCUAGUA